CUGGGAAGUGGAAUAACAUUGAAAUGUAAGUAAAGAAAUAUAUCUAAUAAAAUUAUAAAAAAGAAAAUGCCAUUCUUCUUAAAGAUCAUAAGAGGACAAAAUGCCUCUAUAUUUUUUUGAGACAGGUUUAAUACAUGCUCAGGGUGACUUGAAAUUUGUUAUGUCUCAGAAGUUUAUUCUGAACCCCUGAUUCUCUUGUUUCUCUCUUAAGUGGUGAAGUAUAUGGGCUACCAUGCUUGGCUCUACAUGUUAAGGAGAAUUUCUUCUUCAGGUUGGAUGGUACAAACUAGAGAGUGUAAUAGGCUGUCAGAGUGGCUACUGUAGCUUGUAAUUUAAUUGUAAUACCAAUUGUCUGCUAAGUGGCAUCUGUCCUCCACUGUCAUGGCAACCAUUGGAGAUAUCUGACAUAACAAUGCCUGGAAAAAAACUUAAAAUGAAUGAAAAGAGAAUGUGUUCUACUUCCUAGAAAAUAUCCACCCAGUCUUAGAAAAGACAGGAAUAGAGCUAAGCAGGUGGUCAUACAGUGCCAAUCCUGGCACUGUAGGAAUAGGGGGACAGGAUCAAGACGUCAAAGUUAAUCUCAGUUACAUAGCAGUUCAAGCCUGGCCUGAGGUCCUAUCCAACUCCCCACCAAAAACAAUACUCUUUUCCUUUAUCCACACAUUUUUCCUUUUCAUUUCUUUCAUGUGCUAACCUCUCCCACCACAAAGGAUGGUGAAGUUGAUUUGUGAGUUUUCCUUUCUAUUACAGGAUAAGAAUAAACACAUCCUUCAGUGCCCAACUGGUCAUUCCACAACCCUAAGUAGGGAAAGAAGAUUAUACCUGGGAGAAAAAUUAGUAACACUUGCAUUCAACAAUCUGAACUUCCUCAAGGUUGCAUUCUUGCCUGUUUCUGUGCUUCUUUCACAGGUGACAGCUCCUGAUAAACAGCUGGUGCCCACACUAUGAAUUUAUUUGCUUCUGUAGAACACAGCCUGUGUCUCAGGGCACAGCUGCUGCUUGGACUGUGGCAGCUAUAGAGGAGUCCAGUAUGCCUGAGUCUAGGGUAAAGGAAAGGUGUCAUCUACUGACGUCAUGGUCUGACUACCAGGUACAUAAUGUUGGAUACCAAGAACAACUAUACCCAUGGAUGUAUCAUAGAGAACAGAGAUGAUUAAUCAGAGAGGAACUGAGCAAAACCCUCUUUAGGGGUGGUGAUAUGGAACAGAGUAAAUGGUAUGGAAAUGAGAAAAUUUAUCAGAUUAAAGGACAUAACAAGUGUAAAGAUAAAAAGUAUAUACUACAAUCCCCUAUUAGACUUCAAAGAAGGAAUUUGCUUUCACAAUGAGAAAACAAUUGACUUCAAAAAAUGGAUGCAUACAAAUUUUAAUGUUCCUGCAUGAUGAAGAGGGAGUAAAAUAAUUAGCUCCUUUGCCAUCUAAGGAGGGAGUAUAGCCUAUUCUGUGUAAGUCAUCUUGAUUUAUUCAAGCGACUCUAUUACAGAGCUUGGUUCUUGGGCAUGAGUUCAAUUUUCCUUCUGAGCUGCUAAGAAGAAGCUAAGAUCAGUCCAUGACCUGGAUGAAGCAGAAACCAAUAGAGCUUCCUGGAGGAGAAAAUCAGCCAAGAUGCCUGGAAGAGGCAGAUGCCCCUGAACUGCAUGAAAAUGACCGAGAAGAAGUCAGAUGGAACACACUCAGGCUACCUGGAUGUCUGGAAAAGAAUCUUUCCAGUCUGUUGACCUGUGUGCAGGUUGUACUGUUCACUCCAAGUCUCCAGAUUUCAUGAGCUCUCACCCUUGCUGGGGUAAGGUUUUGGUGAUGCCACUGACUUUGAGUCAUUUUUGCUCCUAUAAGUAACCUUUCACUCAUAUUCCUGUAGAUAACCUC
ensembl:lncRNA